rnacentral:rRNA from 1 species
UUGAAGUCUUGUAAUUGGAAUGAUGGGAAUUUAAACCCCUUCCAGAGUAUCAAUUGGAGGGCAAGUCUGGUGCCAGCAGCCGCGGUAAUUCCAGCUCCAAUAGCGUAUAUUAAACUUGUUGCAGUUAAAAAGCUCGUAGUUGAAUUUCUGCUGCAUCGUGGUUCUUCGCUAUGUCGAGUGAUCUUCGUUGUGGCUUAGUUGGGGCAUGUUUUCAUGACUCGACGUUUACUUUGAGAAAAUUAGAGUGCUUCAAGCAGGCUUUUGCCUUGAAUACUUUAGCAUGGAAUAAUGGAGUAGGACUUUGGUUCUAUUUUGUUGGUUUUAGGAGCCGGAGUAAUGGUUAAUAGGAACAGUUGGGGGCAUUCGUAUUUGACUGUCAGAG